UGCUGGCCUCUGUAGAUGCACACGUCAGUUCUCGGAUCUGUGCAGUGAAGAGCCUUGGCACAUUGAGUGGAAGGUGAAGCUCCAGCUCUCUCUUCCCGACCCAGUGUUUCUCACAAGAAACCCCAGUGAUCUGAGCUGAGAACCAGUGCCACAGCCUGCCCAUCGCCUCUUUGCCUUGCUCAUGUAAUAGUCCGAAAUUCUCUCUCCACUCCACCUCUCUCAUUCUUUAGGACUCAAUGCUAGUGCCACCUCUUCCAGGAAGUCUUCCUCUAGGAGUAGGAUUAGGUGCCUCCCUGUGCUCUGGCACUUUCCAGGUUAUUGACAUGAUCCUUGAGGGUCGGAAGGCAGGAAACCUGGCCUCCUUUUGCACUCUGUCCCUGAGACCUUGCUCAGCAAGCGUGUUGACCUGGCCUGAGCACCCCAUGCUGGUCUCCCUGGCAGCUCAGAGCACCUGUCCCCACCCCUCUCCAGCUCAGCUCUGGCUCACCUGGAGGAGGGGCACAAGGGCUCCAUUGUGUGCUAGAGGGGACAGGAAUAGGGUGAUGCUCUCGAGGGUGGGGCGGGGGCUGGAGCCCGGACAGAUGGAACCCAGACAAAGCCCUCUUUAAGCGGGGAUCGUGGCAGCUGUGCUGACAGUGUACUACAGGAGCCUGGUUAGCUAAAGGAACCAAAUGCCCAGGACGCUGUGAACUUGGCAGUGUCUGGAGGUUGUAUGAAGGUCAUGGGUGGGAUGGGCAUUGGUGCAUGCCACUCACCCUCCCUAGCACUGAAGGCCCCCCUCCCAGAGGGUGCUCCUCAGGCCACUGGUCCUCCCCGUGUCCACAGGAACACCGGCAUUGGGAUGAGAGCGGGAGCAGCUGGCUGGGUUCUGGUUGCAUCCCAUGGGGACCCAUACCGGGGAACUCAGAGCCAGGUUUUACCUUCAGUGGGGUCUGACACCAGAGCAGGGCUCAUGCUGCAAGCUUUGGGGCCUGGGACAGGGGCCAGAUCCUAGAAGAGGCUCACUGUGACCACCUAGCUUCUGGCCAGCUGGCAGGGAGCCUGAGUGAGUGGCCUCAUUCUUUUCCCCGCACAAAGCCCCCGGUCCAUCCUAUCUAGAGCCCUCUCCUGUAACUGGCUGACCUGAAAUCCCAUCUGAUUGGGAAAGACUUCCACAUGAGGCUGCCAGGGUCAGGCCUCCUCUUCCCGCUUCCCUCCUCCACUGAGAAUCCCAGAAGGGGCCUUGCCAGAUACCUGAUGGUCAUAGGUUAGUUUUGAUGCAUUGAGCACAGGUAUGAACCUAUCCCAGGAGUCCAGGUGGUGAAGGAAGGGGGUUUGACCCAGGGCACACGUAGAAUGCUGAGGGAGUCUGGUGGGAGCCCCAGGGCUGUCAUCCUCCUGGGACUGGGCAUUCUAAAUCCGCAAGCUCGAUCUGGGUGGACCCAGAGGGACCCACGAGGAUCUCCUGGAUCCAUGGAGCCCGGCUGUGCUCACAGCUCUGCUGCCUGCUGCCCCCUCACCAGCCUCUCCUCACCCCAGAGCGGCCACCCCUCAUGCCUUGUCUGUUCCCAAGCCCUUUUUGGGACUGUCACCAGCCCUGGCUCCCCUGCUGACCCAGGAAGGGAGCAUAGCCCCUGUCUCUGCUUCUAUGGGGCACCCCUAUGACAGCCCACCCUCCUCAGUACCCUGCCCGCUGUUAGGACUCAGUUUACCUCCUUGGACAGUAUCUUAUCCCCGGUUGAGUUAGGUAGGGCUAAUGCACACCCUGGGUGUUGGGGCUUCCUGGAAUUACAGGAACUACUGAGGGACAGGGCAGGAACUCCCCUACCUGCCCCACCCCACAAGGCCCCUCGUGGGAGUAGGGGUGGAAGUGUGUGCGUGAGAGGCAGUUUAGAAGGGUAGCCGGAGCACCAGCUGGGACCCAGACUGCCAGGCCCCAGUCCUGGCUCUGCCAUUUCCUAGCAACAUGACUUUGUGCCUCAACUUCCCCAUCUGAGAAGAAUCAUCGUGAUGAUUCAAAUUGAAGUGCUCAGUCACAAUGAUCCAUUGUGAUUAUGUGCUGGGAGGAGGGGGCUGCCCAUGCCCUACCUCCCUCGCCACCUUCCCUCCCACUGAAAGAGGGGACCGAUGAGACACCCAUUCCCUACCUCCCUCGCCCCCUUCCCUCCCACUGAAAGAGGGGACCAAUGAGACACCCAUUCCCUACCUCCCUCGCCCCCUUCCCUCCCACUGAAAGAGGGGACGCAUGAGAUGCCCAUGCUGGCUGAGGCUGCCGUCAUGCACUCCGUUCAGCACCCACGGCCCCAGGGAGCAUGCUCCCUUCUCAUGAAGAGCACGGUGGUGGCUCAUUUUCCCCUGGCUAUCACAAGCCAGGACCCCAGGGAGCCCAGGCGUCCCCAGGCGCAGAGCAGCAUUUAGAGGCGCCAGCUGCCUCUCAGGGGGCACCUCCGCGGUGCAGUGGUUGGGGGUGGUGCAUGAGGACAGGGACUAUGGUCCAAAGGGACCUCAGGCAGGUGCAGGGCCUGUGGAAUCCCAGUGACCUUCUCCACGGUGAGGGUGGAGUUGUGGGUCUCGACUUGAUGGCAGAGUCAUGGGUGCGGGGAACAGGUGGCCACUCUCAGUCUCCACCCCUGCCCUCUUAACAGCCCGUUGAACAAAGACUGUUGAGCUCUUGGCACAUGCCCAGCGCUGUGCCCAAGCACAUUACACGUUGUUCCAGGGUCUUCCCAGCGCUGCAGGUGGAUCAUGCUGCUGUCCCAUCUGACAGAGGAGGAGAUGGAGGCUCAAGCAGACUAGGGCCCCCAGCAAGGACGCAGCCUCCUUCCUCUGCAUCUCUGCAUAGAGCUCGGGACAAGGCUGAGUACACACCAAGUGCACAGGGGCAGAGGCAGGGGCAGAGUGGAGCAGGCCCUGAGAUAGUUCUAGAAAAUGGGCCCCUCGGUUACCUUUGGAGGAAGGGAAGAACCCGGCCAGGACCCUUCUGUGUCUCAACACACGUGCCAGCAGGUGGCACACGCCUGUAGUCCCAGGUACGCUGGAGGCUGUGGCAGGAGAAUCACUGAACCCAGGAGGUGGAGGUUGCAGUGAGCCGAGAUCACACCACUGCACUCCAGCCUGGGCAACGAGCAAGACUCCGUCUCAAAAAUAAAUAAAUAAAUAAAAGAGA